GAUGAACGCUGGCGGCGUGCCUAAUACAUGCAAGUCGAGCGAACAGACGAGGAUCGUGCCCCUCUGAAGUUAGGGGCGGACGGGUGAGGAAUACGUGGAUAACCGACCGAUGAGGCUGGGAUAAGGUCGGGAAACCGGAGCUAGUACAGGACAAGAGAGUGAACGGGAGGGUUCAAUGGUGAAAGCGGGAUUAGAUGACACUUGGACGUAUUAGCUAGUUGGUGGGGUAAGGGCCUACCAAGGCGACGAUCCGUAGCUGGUCUGAGAGGAUGAUCAGUCACACUGGAACUGAGACACGGUCCAGACUCCUACGGGAGGCAGCAGUGGGGAAUAUUCGACAAUGGGCGAAAGCCUGACCCAGCCAUGCCGCGUGUGUGAAGAAGGUCUUCGGAUCGUAAAGCACUGUUAUUUGGGAAGAAGGGCUGUGAGUUAAUCUCUUGCUGUCUUGACGUUACCAACAGAGUAAGCACCGGCUAACUUCGUG
rnacentral:rRNA from 1 species